GCAUGCUUUMCACAUGCAAGUCSGACGGCAGCACAGAGAAGCUUGCUUCUUGGGUGGCGAGUGGCGAACGGGUGAGUAAUAUAUUGGAACGUACCGAGUAAUGGGGGAUAACUUGCCGAAAGGUAAGCUAAUACCGCAUACGCUCUGAGGAGGAAAGCAGGGGACCUUUGGGCCUUGCGUUAUUCGAGCGGCCAAUAUCUGAUUAGCUAGUUGGUGGGGUAAAGGCCUACCAAGGCGACGAUCAGUAGCGGGUCUGAGAGGAUGAUCCGCCACACUGGGACUGAGACACGGCCCAGACUCCUACGGGAGGCAGCAGUGGGGAAUUUUGGACAAUGGGCGCAAGCCUGAUCCAGCCAUGCCGCGUGUCUGAAGAAGGCCUUCGGGUUGUAAAGGACUUUUGUCAGGGAAGAAAAGGUUGUGGCUWAUAUCCAUGACUGAUGACGGUACCUGAAGAAUAAGCACSGGCUAACUACGUGCCAGCAGCC
rnacentral:rRNA from 1 species